rnacentral:rRNA from 1 species
CUUUCAACAACGGAUCUCUUGGUUCUGGCUCGAUGAAGAACGCAGCAAAAUGCGAUAAGUAAUGUGAAUUGCAGAAUUCAGUGAAUCAUCGAAUCUUUGAACGCACAUUGCGCCCGCCAGUAUUCUGGCGGGCAUGCCUGUUCGAGCGUCAUUUCAACCCUCAAGCUCAGCUUGGUGUUGGGACUCGCGGUAACCCGCGUUCCCCAAAUCGAUUGGCGGUCACGUCGUCUUCCAUAGCGUAGUAAUCAUACACCUGUCUCUUCGUCGCGGCCACGCCGUAACCCCAACUUCUGAAUGUGACCUCGGAUCAGGUAGAUGCAGUUAUUUUU